UCUCCGAGCUUCACAAUGCCGCCCAAGGACGACAAGAAGAAGAAAGACGCCAGAAAGUCGGCCAAGAAAGAAGAAGUGGUCCAAAGGCAAAGUUCGGGACAAGCUCAAUAACUUGGUCUUGUUUGACAAAGCUACCUAUGACAAACUCUGUAAGGAAGUUCCCAACUAUAAGCUUAUAACUCCAGCUGUGGUCUCUGAGAGACUGAAGAUUCGAGGCUCCCUUGUCAGGGCAGCCCUUCAGGAGCUCCUUAGCAAAGGACUUAUCAAACUGGUUUCAAAGCAUAGAGCUCAAGUAAUUUACACCAGAAAUACCAAGGGUGGAGAUGCUCCAGCUGCUGGUGAAGACGCAUGAAUAGGUCCAACCAACUGUACAUUUGGAAAAAUAAAACUUUAUUAAACCAAA